GACGUUUCGACGGAUGAUGUGACGUUUCAACAGGCUAAAUGUUCCCGCUAUGCUGCCUAGACGCGGUUGCACAUAAACGCGUAUCGGUUCGCGGACGCUGAGACCAGGUCCACGUGGCCCUGGUUAUCUCGUUCUCCUCUUUUUUCUGUCUUUCGGUACGUCCUCGUCGCUUGCGAUGGCUGCGGUAAACGCAAAUGCGCUGUCCAGUGACAUAAGCCGUAGAAAUCCCCAGGACGAGUAUGAGCUUAUACAGAGGAUAGGCAGUGGGACCUACGGCGAUGUCUAUAAGGCUAAACGUCUCUCCAUGAAUGAUCUUGCGGCGAUUAAGGUUAUCAAACUUGAGCCAGGUGAUGACUUUGCAAUCAUUCAACAGGAGAUCUUAAUGAUGAAGGACUGCAGGCAUUCAAAUAUUAUUGCUUAUUAUGGAAGUUAUUUAAGAAGAGACAAAUUGUGGAUAUGUAUGGAAUAUUGUGGAGGUGGAUCAUUACAGGAUAUAUAUCAUAUAACUGGACCAUUAACAGAAAUACAAAUAGCAUAUAUGUGUCGGGAGACUCUCACUGGUUUAGCUUACUUACAUAGCAUGGGCAAGAUGCAUCGUGAUAUUAAGGGUGCCAAUAUAUUGUUGACCGAAUCUGGUGAUGUAAAAUUGGCAGAUUUUGGUGUAUCGGCGCAGAUCACAGCGACAAUUAACAAGAGAAAGAGUUUUAUCGGUACACCUUAUUGGAUGGCUCCUGAGGUGGCAGCCGUGGAAAGAAAAGGUGGUUAUAAUCAAUUAUGUGAUAUUUGGGCAUGUGGAAUAACUGCGAUUGAAUUAGCGGAAUUACAGCCACCAAUGUUUGACCUACAUCCGAUGCGCGCCUUGUUUCUCAUGUCCAAAUCUGGCUUCAAGCCACCAACAUUGAAGGAUCGCGAUAAAUGGAGUCCAACGUUCCAUAACUUUGUCAAAGUUGCCCUCACAAAAAAUCCGAAAAAAAGGCCGACAGCAGAGAAGUUGCUUCAGCAUGCGUUUUUCCAAGGAGAGAUGAGUAAGAGACUGGCUUUAGAAUUAUUGCAAAAAGUGUCGAAUCCCAGCCAUAUGUUCACGGAUCUGGAAGCCGAUGAAGACGGGGCGGUACCCAAUGUUCCACAAAGAAUAGCCUCGCGUCUCACUGCAAGGCCUAGGCCGAAAAGUCCUAUCUCGCAAUUGGAUAGUGAUGAUCAAAUCAACAUUGAUGGAGGGACAUUACAUAGAGAUGCUAUAUCACCAUCUGUGGACAGUAAUCCAGCGUGGGAUAUUAUGGAUAUCAUGAAUAAUGUUAAAGCCGUGCAUAAUUGUGAUGUGCACCCAGACUGUGGGAUUGGAUCUGCAUUUGAAGACGUCCAGGAAAAUACUCUUGGUGCGAACCUUAAGACAAGUAAAAUAUCGAAACGUCGUAGCAAAACUGGCACAGAGAUAUUUCGUAUGUCUUUAAGGAGUCUAUUGCAGUACAUUGAUGAGGAGUUGUUGCUAAGGGGGAAUGCAAUGUCGAUGGUUGGUGGGCAUUGCGACCAGCUAUAUUCCCUGCAAGCUACUCUUCCAUUGGGGGAAUCUUCGAACGAUUGCGAAGUCCAUUGUCCAUAUUACAACGUAUCUGGGUCUCAAGCGAGUCCCAGACGUCACAGCUCCGUGGAUGAAUUGUAUGGUCUCGUCAAUAGUUCUCAGUCUUUAACAACUGUGAAUGGACAACGUCAACGAUCAUUAUCGGACAGCGGCCCUAGGGACGAACCCGCACAGUCAAACGGUGACAAUGAGAUAUCGGCUGAUCGAGACAGGGAAAGUAUGAGUCCCGAUUUACUAUCAGACACUCCACCUGUUCCUCCAAGAAGAAGAGAUCGAAAGAGACAUACGCCACCAAGACCGAUAAGUAAUGGACUGCCUCCUACGCCGAAAGUGCACAUGGGAGCGUGUUUUUCAAAGGUAUUCAAUGGCUGUCCACUGAGAAUACAUUGUACCGCAAGUUGGAUUCAUCCAGAUACAAGGGAUCAGCAUCUGCUUAUCGCAGCGGAAGAAGGAAUUUAUAAUUUGAACUUGAAUGAACUUCAUGAAACUGCGAUAGAUCAGCUGUAUCCUAGACGUACUAUCUGGAUGUAUGUUAUCAAAGAUGUUCUUAUGUCUCUUUCCGGAAAAACGCCUCAGUUGUAUAGGCAUGAUUUGUUAGCGAUGUUAAGUAAACAGACUCAUAGAUUUUCGUUGCAUAUGAAUAAAAUACCAGAAAGAUUAGUCCCUAGAAAGUUCGCUUUAACUACGAAAGUACCGGAUACCAAGGGAUGCACCAAAUGUUGCGUUGGAAGAAAUCCAUAUAACGGGUACAAGUAUCUGUGCGGUGCGAUGCCGGCAGGUAUAUUCUUAAUGCAAUGGUACGAUCCAUUGAAUAAGUUUAUGCUUUUAAAACAUUUUGAUUGCAUUCUACCGUCGCCUCUAAAUGUCUUUAAAAUGGUUAUCACGCCUGAAAUGGAAUACCCGAUGGUAUGUGUAUCGGUUAAACAGCCAUAUCAGCAAAAUAAAUUAAAGCUGGACUUAAUUAAUAUGAAUUCGGGAGCGAGUUGGUUUCAUAGUGACGAAUUGGAAGAUAUGGAUGGCUCAGCAACUGUGAUACCAAGACGAGAGAAUUUGAACGUUAUUAAUGUUACGCAAUUCGAAAAAGAUGCAAUACUUGUUUGUUACGAUAAUGUAGUAAAGAUGGUAACUUUACAAGGAAAACCCCGUAUUAGCAAGAAGCAGUUAUCAGAGUUACAGUUUAAUUUUCAAAUUGAAUCUAUCAUUUGUCUACCUGAUAGUGUAUUGGCAUUUCACAAACACGGUAUGCAAGGUAGAAGUUUCAAGAAUGGCGAAGUUACACAAGAGAUUAGUGAUCCGAGUAGAACUUACAGGCUACUUGGCUCAGAUAAGGUUGUGAUGUUGGAGAGUCACUUAGUUCAUAGUGGCACAUUGACUGAAUCGGAAGGAGCAGACUUGUACAUUCUCGCUGGGCAUGAAGCUAGCUAUUGAGCAUUGAUCCUAAAUAGCGUCCAUCCGCUGCAUGGUUUCGCAUGAUAUGUGAUUGAACUACAUGUAAUGUGAAAUGACUACGAGAAUGGAUACAAGAAUCUUAGUAAUAAAAUGAAUAUUUCUGGUACUUCCAAUAUCACGUUGCGUUGAUUUCAAAAAAAAGCUGUUCAUAUUUUAACAAGGAUGAGGAUCCAAGGGAUGGAAAAUCGAACUUAUGCACGUCUUACCAUUAUUUUCGAUCAAGAAGAUGACGAUUAAAUAACACGUACGUUAUAUUUCGCAUACAAUAGAGAUAUACAAAAUAUUUUGAGAGGCAAAUUCGUGAAUUACACAAAAUGAAUAAAAAAAGAAAUAUAU
rnacentral:misc_RNA from 1 species